rnacentral:rRNA from 1 species
UACGUAGGGGCCGAGCGUUGUCCGGAGUUAUUGGGCGUAAAGAGCUCGUAGGCGGCUUGUCGCGUCGACUGUGAAAGCCCGCGGCUCAACCGCGGGUCUGCAGUGGGUACGGGCAGACUGGAGUGCGGUAGGGGAGAAUGGAAUUCCUGGUGUAGCGGUGGAAUGCGCAGAUAUCAGGAGGAACACCGAUGGCGAAGGCAGUUCUCUGGGCCGUAACUGACGCUGAGGAGCGAAAGCGUGGGGAGCGAACAGG